AACUUACUAAACAUACAUAACAUGACUUAACUUUGAUACUUUUUUGGUACAUUCCAGAAAACCAGGACCCCUCCAUGAUGCAGGCUAUGGGGCCACAUAAAACUUUGUCCAGGGUUACUACAUAACAUAGCACGACAACUGUAAACUAUGUACUACUGUACUAAAGAACCCCCUGAAUGAUGUAGGCUAUGGGGCCACAUAAGACUUUGUCCAUCCAGGGUUACGAUGAAUGUAAAAUAUAAACUAAAGAACCCCCUGAAUGAUGUAGGCUAUGGGGCCACAUAAGACUUUGUGCAUCCAGGGUUACAUAGCAGGACAACUUUAAACUAAAAAGCUACCAGACUGGGAUUUUAGUGUACUCCAGGAUCUAACAAAUACAUACGUACUACUACGAAGUGUGCAAUGCAUGUAUAUAGUGACAGUGUUUAGUGUAUACCCUAAGGAUUAAGUGUAGUACAUUGUGCUUUUUAGUGUCACAAGAGUUUAAUAAAGAAUUAUACCUUCAAGAACCAUCCUUUGCCAUUGGAAUAACCACACUACACAUCAUGCAAUCUACUUGCAUGUCACACAGGUAAGGUCUCUAACUUUUUCUUAGUUUAAGGCAUAUUUCCAAGUGUCGUUCCGGCUUACGACGAUUUUCGGCUUACGACGCGCCUCAAGAACGGAACCCCCGUCGUAACCCGGGGACUG